rnacentral:lncRNA from 1 species
UGUCAAAUUAGUUGGUUCCUCUUUUAAAGUCUGUCUGACCAAUCUCCUUGAUAUAACCUAGUCGGCAGUAGUUUUUAUAUUUGUCAUUCUUAACCGAUAAAACUAAAGCCAAGCAAUGAUGUCUCUGCGAUAUUUAGUAGCUAAAACCUACCGUUCUCCUCUGUUGACCAUCAGACUCUUCACCAAACUAACUCAGACAUGUCGGCUUCAGUCAACAGGCUCAACGAAACGACCCCGAAAAAGCCUUAUUAAAAGAAUCACAUUUGGCACUGUUUUGGGGGCAACUUGUAUUUUUGGGUUUUACCAACUGAAUAUUGCUUAUGGCGGCCCACAAGAUCCAUCUAACCUGAAAGUAAGCUG